UUACGGCCACAUCACGUUGAAACAGCGGUUCCCGUACGAUCAUCGAAGUUAAGCAAUGUCGAGCCUGGUCAGUACCGAGAUGUGUCACAGCAUGAAAAUACU